AUGGCACAAUUCCGAUUUCUUUGGCGCCGCGAUUUGAAGUGAACAUCAUGUGUGUGCUAAAAUUACGACGAAAUGGAGCGCUGCCAUGUGAUAAUAAGGAAAUUCGCUGAAAUGCCUUUUUUCCCAAAAAUUCCUCUAUCCAUUCAUAUGGAUAUGUUCUUUAUUUAAUUUAAUAAACAAAUAUGUAAUAUUAUAUACUAAUAUUAUAUAAUAAUAUUAUAUAAUAAUAUUUAACCAUUUUGUAAUGAAAACUCAAACUUUGUUUGAAUAUUAGUGCAAGAUAACCAAAAAAUAUAACCACUUUAUAACGAAACUCAA